AUGAUUGUGGAACCUGCUGGACAUUUUCUGAAGCCAGGGACUUCUGGGAUCUUGCUGGCUUCCACGAAGCUCGGGGAUUUCCAUGCAGGAGUAGAAGAUGAUGGGCAUGUGGCUGCAUGGUGCCUCAGAGCUCAGGCUCAGGAGCCAGACAUGCCUGCAUUGAAGUCAUUUCUGACCCUCACUGUGGUCUUGGGUGAGGUUUCUUCUUGUUUUGUUACUGAUGCAGAUGUGGAGGACCCUGGGUGGUGACUGGUAUUGGAAGAUGACAGAAUGAAGGGUAAGGCUUUUUGUUAAUGUCCACCCUGAAAUUAUUACACAAUGCACCACGGUCCUUGCUGGUCCUAAGCAGUCAACUUGAUCUUAUAGUGAUUCCCCAGAAAGUUCUGGAAGGCAAGUGUCUUUGAGAGGUUAUGAGCGUGGGCUUGAGGCAGACCAGUGAGAUGCGAGUCCCAGCUCUAUCCUUUACUAGCUGGGUGACCUUGGACCAGUUGUUGAGCUUCUCAGAGCUUCAUCUUCCUCAUAUGUAAAAUGGGAAUAAUAACAAUAUCCACCUUAAUGGGUUGUAAAAAAGAUUAUUUAUUUUAAUUUCUUACUGAGACAGGGUCUCACUGUCGUCAAGGCUGGAGUGUAGUGCUGCAAUCAGCACUCACUGCAACCUCCACCUCCAAGGUUCAAGUGAUCCUCCUGCCUCAGCCUCCCUAGUAGCUGGGACCACAGGUGCGUGCCACCACUCCUGUGUAAUUUUUGUAUUUUUUUUUGUAGAGAUAGGGUCUCAUUAUAUUGCCCAGGCUGGUCUCAAACUCCAACUCCUGGGCUUAUGUCAUCCACUUGCCUUGGCCCCCCAAAGUUCUGGGAUUACAGGCAUGAGCCACUGUGCCUGAUCUAUAAGGAUGAUUAAAUGAACUAAUAUACAUAGAAUGUUUAGCACAGUGACUGACACAGAGUAAGAUUUAAAAAAUAUCAGCUAUUAUUUUUUCUUCAACUUUUAUUUGAAGUUCAGAGGUACAUGUGCAACACGUGCAGGUUUGUUACAUAGAUAAAUGUGUGCAAUGGUGGUUUGUUGCACAGAUCAUUCCAUUACCUUUGUAUCAAGUCCAGCAGCCAUUAGCUAUUCUUCCUGAUGCUCUCCCUCUUCCACCAACAGGCCCCAGUGUGUGUUGUUCCUCCCAAGUGUUCAUGUGUUCUCAUGAUUCAGCCCACUCGUAAGUGAGAACAUGUGGAAUUUGGUUUUCUCUUCCUGUGUUAGUUUGCUGAGGAUAACAGCUUCCAGCUUCAACCAUGUCCCUGCAAAUGACAUAAUCUCAUUCCUUUUUAUGGCUGCAUAGUAUUCCAUGGUGUAUAUGUACCACAUUUUCUUUAUGUAAUCUAUCAUUGAUGGGCAUUUAGGUUGAUUCCAUGUCUUUGCUAUUGCAAAUAGUGAAUAUCAGCUAUUAUUAUUUUAUUAAUAUUAUUACUGUUGUGGCUCAGGAAAUGAUAACUCAACAUUUGGCACUUUGACGUACUGAAUGCUUCGAAUGGAAAUAGGAAGGCCUCAGAAAUAAGUCUCAGAACCAAGGUCUCUUUGACCUUCCCUUGCUCCCCAUCUCUGAUCCUCUUUCUUUUCUCAAGCACAGGGAAGGACUCUCUCUGAAAUUUUAUUUGACUAAAGAAACUUCUUUCCAAAAGAAAUGCAAUUGUCUUAAGACCCCCUCCCUAGGAAUCUCAUCAAAUAACCACCAGAGAAGAGAAGAGACUAAAAGUCGUCACCAUGCUGAGACAGAUUUUCAUCUAUUCUUCUGAGGGCAGCUCUAAGAGAUUACCUGGGAGACCUUAUCUGCAUAAUAAGACAACCUUUGCUCACAGUGAACUUCUGCCCCUCACCUUCCCACCACCUCCCCUAGAGUUCUGAGGGAUGUUGUCCCAGGCCAUUGUUCUUUGGGCUCAUUAAUUUUCCUUAGAAAUUAUAUACUGUCCCUAAAAUUACCUCCAGGCCCUUUAUUUCCCUUCCCCCUAAGUAAAUAAGUAUUUAAGCCUCAAUGACCUGGUCUCUCUUUGAGCCUCAUAUUUGCAGGACUCCCAUGUCCAUAUACACACCAAGAAAUAUGUAUGCCUUUGUUUUCUCCUGUGUAUUGUUUAUUUAUCAGUCAUUUUAGUGAGCCUUUCAUGGGCAGAAAGGACACUUUUCCUCUGUCCCUACAUUACCAUGGCUCUUGUCAACUAGAAAGCAUUGGGAACUAAUGUGUGCUUCCUGUCCUCAGUUUCAUUAUGUGAAAAAUGGGGCUGCUGAUAAUAGUCACUUCAGUAGCUCAAGAAAGAAAUAAGAGAGGUCACACAAAGUGCCCCCACACAGUGUAGGCACCCAAAAUAGGUCAUUUUCCCUUUCCUCCUUUCUUUGAUCAUAUCCAAGAUCAAGGUAUAUCAAAUAUCGGCAUAAAUGCACAGUUUGGUGGUUCUUGCCUUUUUGAGGGGUCAUGGGUCCAGAAUCACAUCUCCCUCUCAGAGUUCAAUAAUUCAGUGAACUAUAAUGGGUUUUUAUCUCAUUGCCCAGAACAACCCAUCUUAAUGGCUUUUUCACACAAUACAUUAAAUACAAUUUUCUAGGAAAAAAUGUGACCCACAAAAGUGGGUUCUUAAAAGUCAAGCUCCCAGCCAGGCACAGUGACUCUGUAGUUCUAGCACUUUGGGAGGCCAGGGCAGGAGGAUCGCUUGAGCCCAGGAGUCCAAGGCUUCAGUAAGCUACAUUUGCACCAUUGCACUCCAGCCUGGGUGACAGAGUGAGAACCUGACUCUUACAAAUAAAUAAAAAAAAAUUGAACUCUGGUGAUGGUGAGAUGUGGAGAGUCUGACAGUCCCAAGAGUGCUUUGUUGUGGAUCCGUACAGAAGCUUCUGAGCCCAGAAUCUCUGCCUGUUCUGGGACUCACUGUUCUCAUCCCAUGGCUGUCCUUGGCCCCAUUUGAGGCUGUCUGAUGGGUGAAGACAGGAUGGUGUUGGGUUGAAGGGGCCUUCCUCCUUCCCCAGUGCUGUCUCAUACACACACUGGCUGUGUGGGCAGUGCCUUUAACACUCUCUUCUCUAAACUGCAGUUUACAGUGCCUUCCCAUCCAUCUUUGUUGGGCUUCCUUCCCUUCCCUGUUUCCCUUCCAUACCCAUUUCCUCCCCCCCCCCCUCCCCUCCCUCCCUCCCCCCUCCCCUCCCCCUCCCCCUCCCUCCCCCUCCCCCUCCCUCCCCUCCCCUCCCUCCCCUCCCCCUCCUCCUUCUUCUUUUCUUCUUCUUCUUCCUCCUCCUCCUCCUCCUCUUCUUCUUCUUCUUCUUUUCUUCUUCCUCCUUCCUCUCCCUCCUCUUCCCCUCCUCUUCCCCUCUCCUCCUUAAUGCUCUGGCUGGCUGUUGUGCUGGCGCGCUGGCUGGCUGUGCUGG
rnacentral:lncRNA from 1 species